CAAUUCUAUAAUUUUCAAGAAGUCUUGGAAUAUUUGGCUCUAUUUCAGUUUGAAUUUCCAAAUUUAGUGAUUUCUGCAGGCUUCCCCUGAACUGAGGUUCCCAGCUGGCCAGCAAGCGGAACCAAGCCCACCUCCCUGACCCUUGAACAGAAGUCCAACCUGUGAACUUGGUUCCUGGGGUAACAUGGCUCCAUGUGCCACUGAUAGAAGCUUGGUCUCUUUAGGAUCCACCAUGAGUUCAGCUUCAGGACAGCACUCAAUCAAGUCCAUGCAGACAGGAACCAGUUGUCUUUAGGAACUUCCAGAGGAGGCACCACCAUGGGAUUACAAGGAGCAUUUCACAACCCCUACAUGUCAGAACUACAUACAGCCAAAAACACUACUGGAGUUCCUGCUGUGGCACAGUGGGUUAAGAGUCCAACUGCAGCGGCUUGGAUUGAAUUGCCAGUUCAAUCCCCACCCCAGCACAAUGGUUAAGGAUUGGACGUUGCCACAGCUGUGGUGAAGGUCGCACUGCGGCUUGGAUUUGAGCCCUGGCCCGGGAACUUCCAUAUGCCAUGGGUGCAGCCAUAAAAUUAAAACAAAACCUACCCCUAACCAUCUCCUUUCUGUGAUUUCAAACAUCCUACCCACGAUUUUGAUAUGAUCAAUUUAUACAUCUCAUAUUUCUUAUUUAAAAAAUUUUACCGCUAACAUGAGCCCUGUCUAUAUGAGAGGUUCCACUGCCUGUCAUCACAUCAGGCAUCCCUUCUGCAGACAUAAGAAAUAUGUCUGACAAAAGAUUUUGAUAGAGUUAGCAGUUGAAGCCCUCUUAUUCAGGCACUCACAGGGAUUGAACCUGCUCUAAAGAAUUUUUAUGUUCUCUGUAUACCACAUGCUAUAUAGUAAGUUUCACUAAGUAAACUAGCAGGCCCAUACCCCAAAGUGUUAUUUGAUAUCCUUCCUUUACUAAUAUACC
rnacentral:lncRNA from 1 species